UAGUUCUGUGUCUGAAGUCUGUGAGAAAUCGCUGUAACUUUAGAUAGAAUGCUUCUCUACCCUGCUCUCUUGCCUUUCUCUUUUAUUCUUCUCAAUCUUUUCUUUAAAAAAUUAUUUUAGGUAGGUAUACAAAACAAUGGGUUCUACCAUGGACUGACUCUCCAUACAUACAGGUCACUAUAUGCUGUUGAUUGACCCUCCCCGCCCCGCCCUUUCCUUAGCUGGACUGGUUUUCGUUCUUCCCCGUUACUACCAUCCUCUACUUCCCUACCGUCUGUAUCCAUUUCUGCCUCCUUUCUCCUUUGUCCCAAGUUUCUUCCCCUCAUCAUCCCCUUUCCAGAUUUAUAAGGAAUGCAUAGACAUACUGUUAGAUACUGUGAUGGUUUGAAUAUGCUUGGCCCAUGGGAAGUGGCAGUAUUGGAAGGUGUGGCCUUGUUGGAGGAGGUGUGGCCUUGUUGGAGGAAGUGUGAGCUUAUUGGAGGAAGUGCAACACCAUGUGGGUGGGCUUUGAGGUCUCAUGCUCAGGCUCCACCCAGUGCAGAAGAGAGUCUCCUGGCUGCCUGCAGGAGAUAGUUUUCUCCUGGCAGCCUUUGCAUCAAGAUGUAUUCCUCCUCCAGCACCAUGUCUGCCUGGAAGCUGCUGGACUUUCCACCAUGAUGAAAAUGGAUUGAACCUCCAAAACUCC
rnacentral:lncRNA from 1 species